rnacentral:piRNA from 1 species
AGAUGUGUUAGACCAAAUGGGGA